GUGGGGAAUAUUGGACAAUGGGCGCAAGCCUGAUCCAGCCAUGCCGCGUGAGUGACGAAGGUCUUCGGAUUGUAAAGCUCUUUUGCCAGGGACGAUAAUGACGGUACCUGGAGAAUAAGCCCCGGCUAACUUCGUGCCAGCAGCCGCGGUAAUACGAAGGGGGCUAGCGUUGUUCGGAAUUACUGGGCGUAAAGCGCACGUAGGCGGAUUUGUUAGUCAGGGGUGAAAUCCCGGGGCUCAACCUCGGAACUGCCUUUGAUACUGCAAGUCUAGAGUCCGGAAGAGGUGAGUGGAAUUCCUAGUGUAGAGGUGAAAUUCGUAGAUAUUAGGAAGAACACCAGUGGCGAAGGCGGCUCACUGGUCCGGUACUGACGCUGAGGUGCGAAAGCGUGGGGAGCAAACAGGAUUAGAAACCCUAGUAGUCC
rnacentral:rRNA from 1 species